rnacentral:tRNA from 1 species
GGAAGUGUGCCUGAACAAUAGGACUACUUUGAUAGAGUAGAAUAUAGGGACUUAGCCCCCUCACUUCCG